rnacentral:rRNA from 1 species
UACGUAGGGUCCGAGCGUUGUCCGGAAUUAUUGGGCGUAAAGGGCUCGUAGGCGGUUAGUCACGUCGGGAGUGAAAACUCAGGGCUCAACCCUGAGCGUGCUUCCGAUACGGGCUGACUAGAGGUAUGCAGGGGAGAACGGAAUUCCUGGUGUAGCGGUGGAAUGCGCAGAUAUCAGGAGGAACACCGGUGGCGAAGGCGGUUCUCUGGAACGGUACUGACGCUGAGACGCGAAAGCGUGGGGAGCGAACAGG